GGCGGCAUGCUUUACACAUGCAAGUCGAACGGCAGCACGGGUGCUUGCACCUGGUGGCGAGUGGCGAACGGGUGAGUAAUGCAUCGGAACGUCGCCCAUGAGGUGGGGAUACGCCCGGCGAAAGCCGGAUUCAUACCGCAUACGCCCGUUAGGGGGAAANCGGGGGAUCUUCGGACCUCGCGCUAUUGGAGCGGCCGAUGUCGGAUUAGCUAGUAGGUGAGGUAAAGGCUCACCUAGGCGACGAUCCGUAGCUGGUCUGAGAGGAUGAUCAGCCACACUGGGACUGAGACACGGCCCAGACUCCUACGGGAGGCAGCAGUGGGGAAUUUUGGACAAUGGGCGCAAGCCUGAUCCAGCCAUGCCGCGUGAGUGAAGAAGGCCUUCGGGUUGUAAAGCUCUUUCAGGUGGAAAGAAAUAGCGCUGUUUAAUAGAUGGCGUUGAUGACGGUACCACCAGAAGAAGCACCGGCUAACUACGUG
rnacentral:rRNA from 1 species